AGAUUGAACGCUGGCGGCAGGCCUAACACAUGCAAGUCGAGCGGUAGAGAGGUGCUUGCAUCUCUUGAGAGCGGCGGACGGGUGAGUAAUGCCUAGGAAUCUGCCUAGUGGUGGGGGAUAACGUUCGGAAACGGACGCUAAUACCGCAUACGUCCUACGGGAGAAAGCGGGGGACCUUCGGGCCUCGCGCCAUUAGAUGAGCCUAGGUCGGAUUAGCUAGUUGGUGAGGUAAUGGCUCACCAAGGCGACGAUCCGUAACUGGUCUGAGAGGAUGAUCAGUCACACUGGAACUGAGACACGGUCAGACUCUACGGGAGCAGCAGUGGGAAUAGUUGGACAAGUGGGACGAAAG
rnacentral:rRNA from 1 species